UGGAGAGCCGAGUGUGUGUGCGGCUGACGGCUGUGCUGGGCUGGCUCAGUUGGAAGUUGGACUGCGGACACACACAGUAGUACACAGAACAGUACUGUGUGGAACAGAACAGCCUGGGAAACCGAGUGACUGUGUGGACAGUGGGCGAUUCUGGGCUGCGGUGGGCUGCCUGUGUACUUGGGCAAUAAUUCUACUUAAGUAAAUGGACGGCGUGGUUGGUUACUGACUGAAGCCUGCGCAAAAGUGAAUGUGGAAUUCUGGACUGCUGGCUGUCAGGAACUGGUGGGCAAACUUCUACAGCAAAUAGACUCCUGGGAGGCAAUACAGGUAUUCAUGGCAGGAGUCAUGAAUGCUACAUGGGACAGAUACCUAGACAACUCAGGUUACUGUGGUAGACUGCCGUUAUUAUUUUAGACGAGUGCUUGGACUGGGUGACGGUGUUUGAUGAAUCCUACUUGAUGUACGGUGCGUCUAAUAUCUCACGAUCUUGAACCGUCAGUUUAUGGAGAUCUGCUUCCUGCAGAAAUUUUACACCGUCUUGGGGAUCGUCAGGGGUCGACCCGUAAAAUUUCCUAAAAUGUUCGGCCAUUAUUUCCCUGAUUUGUGUGGUGUCAUGUGUCCAGCCAUUAGGCGUUUUGAUAUUUUGUAUAUAUGUGUUGCGAGUUUUCCUCUUAGCUAUUUGUGCCAGUAAUUUCCCUUAUUUGUUACCAUAUCUGUAAAAUUUGUUUGCAGUAUGACUAAGUGAUUUGUGAGCUUUUUCAGUUAAUAAAGUAUCAAAAAGUU